CUCCCCGUGUUCGCAGGAAGGAAAUUUCGGGCAAGCUGGGAGGCAGAGUGCUCUUGCUUCUGCCCAUUCUGAGAGUGCUCCUUUUGCAGCCCCUGACUUGCCUCACAGGGC
rnacentral:ncRNA from 2 species